rnacentral:rRNA from 1 species
GUCUACUGCCAUGCCACCCUGAACAAGCCCAGUGUCUGAUCUUGGAAGCUAAGCAGGAUUGGGCCUGGGCCUGGUUAGUACUUGGAUGGGAGAGCACCUAGGAAGACCAGGUGCUGUAGGCA